AUGAGCCUGGAGAAGGCUCCAGGGAGAGCUCAGAGCCCCUUGCAGGGCCUAAAGGGGCUCCAGGAGAGCUGGAGAGGGACUGGGGACAAGGCAUGGAGGGACAGGACACAGGGAAUGGAUCCCAGUGCCAGAGGGCAGGGCUGGAUGGGAGAUUGGGAAUUGGGAAUUGUUCCCUGGGAGGGUGGGCAGGCCCUGGCACAGGGUGCCCAGAGCAGCUGGGGCUGCCCCUGGAUCCCUGGCAGUGCCGAGGCCAGGCUGGACAUUGGGGCUGGGAGCAGCCUGGGGCAGUGGGAGGUGUCCCUGCCAGGGCAGGGUGGCACUGGGUGGGCUUUGAGGUCCCUUCCCACCCACACCAUUCCAGGAUUCCCUGAUCUGGCUGUCAGUCGUGCCCCAAAGCUGGAGGACACCCAGAGGGAUGUUGGGAAUCAGGAGUGGCCAUUCCCAAGGGGACGCUCAGGCCCAGCAGUGCAGCCAGGCCUCUCCCUCCCUUGCAUCCAUUGGCAUCCGAGUGUUCCAAUCUCCAGCGCAUCCCAAACGCUCCCAGGCUUUUGUGGACAUUCAGGGCGUGGUGGCCCUGAGCUGUGCUCAGUGACAGGGACACAUAGGGGGUGGUGCUGCGAUACCAGUGAUAAAUCCCAGUUAACCACUGGAAAACUGGAACGGAGGGUCCGGGUUCCAGCCCAGCCAGGGCAGGGUGAUGCCGUUUCUCUUGGAAUCUCUAUUCCUGCCAAGAGAACAUGGUGGAAAGUUGGGAAGAUCCUUUGGAUGUGAUUGGUCUGUAAGUUUUGGCUGCGUUUUUCUCCCUGUUCUGAUCACCUUUGCUCUGAUGGACAUUUGAAGGUUCUGUUGUUGUUGGGGUUUUUUGUGUUUUUUUCCCUCUGUUAUGGUUUAUUCACUGAAAUAUCGAUGCCUCAUCAAAAAUUCAUCAGUAUUUUGGCCCUAACCCUCCACUUUCCAGACAAGAAAUGGCUUUUUUGCCUCAGAAAAAACCUUUCUGCUUAGGUACAACUCACAUUUGGUGAACUUGUCUUUUCUCCUGAAAAACCCCCACCUGCCUGCAACCAACGGUUCCUUUUUGAUGGAUCGUCUUUGUCCAGUCCCACUGAGAACAUCAACCCUGCACUGUGUAAACUCUUCUGGCUACUUUUUAUCUGGGGGGAGGGAUUUUUGGAAACACCAUUUCUCCUUCUUCCAGCCUGGGUGAGAGCGUGGUGGAGGCACAGCUGGAGCCGGCAGAGCCUGUCCUUGUCAGACACCAACAUCUCAAUCUCUGUCUCUUCAAAAGCUUUUAGGGCCUCCAGCUUUGGAAGAGCUGUGAAUUCCCACCUGGCUUUCUCCACUUGUUCCUCCCAGAGAGAAAAGUGUCCCCCAUUCCCAGUUUAUAGAGAAAGGAACUGGGAAAUGGGGGAAUGAAGUAAAAGCAGUGGUGGACACAAGGCACCCCCAGACCAGGCCCUGCUUUAUCUCACUCUAUCCUUGUAGGAUGGAUCCCGAUGAUCUUUAGGUCCCUUUUAGGGAUCCUUUCCAGGAUUCCCUGGGAAUGGGGCUCUGUCACACUCUGGUCCCCUGCCAGCCCUGCUGUCAGCCUUUGGGCUCAGACACACACGAGCUGCCUGCUGCAGCCAGACUGAGCCCGGGACUGAAGAUUGCCAUUAACAGUCAGGGAAAGAGAGAGGAAUUCCAGGAGCUCUGUUCCCACCCGGUGCAGCUCAACCAAGGAGCCUCUGACUGAAGAGACUUUCGUGUUUAAUGAUAUUUUAAGGUUUCUUUUGUGUUUUGCUCCCAGCUUUACCAGAGCCUUGGUCUGGAGCUGUAAGAUUUCAGCUUCUGGUUUGUUUAAUGCUCCCUGAGACUUUCCCAGGGCUGAGGAACUGAGGUUUAAUAUCCCUGCAUUCCUUAGGAGACAGUGGGAGCCUGCAGAGCUGGGAGCUGGCUGAGACCUGGCCUGGGCUUUCUGCUGCUUUUUGCCUUCCUCCCAACACGGGCCUUUGUUCUUCUGCUUCCCUGCACUCCCGAGCCUCUCCCAGGGCCUCUCUGUCCCUGAGCUUUGUCUGACCCAAAGAUGCAAAACCCCAGAAAUGAAAUGUUCAGAGCCUCAGGCCGAGGUUCUGCUGCCCCCCGGCUUUGGAUCCGGCCUGGAAGGUGGGGGAUGAAGCCAAAACGACAGAGAUCCAGCCCAGCCCAGGAGAGCGGGAGGGUUUGUGCCUCCCUCAUUAACAGGAGCCGCUCGCAGGGUCAUUAGCGAGUCUCUAAUUGUUUGAUUACCCCGAGCCGGCUGCGCUAAGGAAACAAAGCAGGAGGAAAUGGGCCCGCGGGGGCUCUGGGGUCUGUCACUCGUGUGUUGUGUUUAGCGGGAGUUUAAAAGCAGCCAGGUGGGAAUGCAGCGGCAGGGCUGGGUCCAGCAGCAUGGAAUUCACGUGUCCGUGGCAGAGAGUGGGAUAACACGGGGCGGGAUAACUGGGGAUAACCGGGAAUAGCGGGGGUGGAAGGAAAAGCUGCUCAGUUCUUCCUAUCCUCCUGUGGGGUGCUGUGGAUGUGUCUGCCGGGAGGCACUGCAGCUCCGGUCGGGAACCCUGUGCUGUUGUUCGGAUUUGAAUCCCUCCUUUGGCAAACCUGUCCCUCCCAGAGCAGCCCCGUCUGAGCAUCCCGCCUCUGCUCAGCCUGGAUUCCUGCUCUUCCCUCCACCCCUUCCAUUUUUCAGCUCUGGGAUGAUCCAAGACCAGCAGAACUCCAACCCAGCCCCUGCCCAGAUGUUCCUGCCUGAGGAGAGCCAGCGUGACUGAUUCAGGUGAUGGAUGUCAGACGUCAGGAAUAAAAUAAAAUCAAGCAAAAAUCAAAUUUUCAAUUAGGCUGGGUCACUGGGAGCCAUGAGCACUCACACUCUGCCACGGUGCCUGGAGCAAUAAACCCCGGGUUCUCCCAAGGCGGGCAGCCCGGGUUAGCCUGGAUGUGGACAGGGCCAUUGUGAGGGGUCAGCUGGGCGUUAACAGCAGAAUCAGGGUUUUGUUUUGCUGCUCUACACGAGCUCCAUUAUCCCUUCGUACAGGAACUGAGUUUAAUCACAUCUGGCAGACCUGCUGCCUGUAAUGUGUCCCAAUAUCCCAUUACAUUUUCAAUUUACAUGUAUUACCUUUCCCUGGAAAAGUUCCCUGCACUUCUGGCUGCGGAAUUAAAUGGCCAUUAUGAAAACAGAGUAGGACAUUUCAGCGAUCUGUGUGUUUGAUCUCACCCUGAGAGGCAAUUAGUGCUAAUAAGUCCUGUACCCAGUGUCUGCCUCUGAUCUGACUCAAAAAUAGAGCAGCUAAAAGGCCUCAAGUGGGACGGCAAUUCCAGAGGGUGAUUCCCUUCCCACAAAACAGCCGAUAAUGGAGAACAGAGGAGCCGUGUCUGGGCAGGGGAGAUCAGAGCCAAGUCUGUGUCUUUUAGACCAGAACAUGUCUGCAGUGACUCCCAGGAAAGGAAGGAGCAGCAUCCCAAAUCAGGGGUGGGUUAGGCUGAGCCUAAGCACAAACACACACCCGGGAGCCAGUGGCGGUGCUGAGACAGGGAAUUAACGCAGGAGGGGUUUAAAGUGGGGUUAAAGGCUCAGCAAAGGAGAGGGAACACAUUCCAGAGCAGCUUUGAAGGGGAUGAGGGUUUGAUGCCCAUAAUCCCCAUAGCUCCGGGCAUUUCCAGCCCGCUCCUCCUGUCAGAGAAGGGAAAAGGAGAGAGGCAUUGAUCACACGGAGUCAUUAAUCUCAGAGUCAUUAGUCACAGUGUUAAUCACCUGGAGCUGUGCCUGAGGGUCCCUCAAUCCCCCCAGACCCCUCUGCAGGAGCACAGCCUGCCUGGCCAAGGGACGUUCCAGGAGGGGUUUCACAGGCAGGAGCAGCAGCCUUUGGGAGUUACCAGCUGCAUUUAACAGAUAAAAAAAUUCCCACAUUUUUAGUUUAUAAACACAUCUGUCCCAAUGGUUGAUUCCUCACCUGCAGCUUUUACCAACUUGGCAGCUCCUGGAUGCAUUGGGACCCCGGGGCCAGGAGCAGUGAAGGCCUUGUUCAAUGCAAGUAUGGGCAGCGAGGAGAACAGCAAUAGUGAGGAAGAAAAAUCAAAGGAAUGGGUGAAUAUUCCCCAGUGCGCCAUUGCCCCGAGCUCCCUGCAGGAUCUUGGUGGGAUUUAGAGUUUGGGAGAGCAAGAAAUGAGAGACAGAACAUGGCUGUGCCUGGAGCUUUAUCCCCAAAUGCAGGAGCUGGAGCCCAGAGCUGUAACAGCCCAGAGAAGCUGGUUUAGGGUUCCAGGUCCUCAAGGAGCAGGAGAGGUGGGUGUGGGGUAGGAGUCAGGACAUUUUCCAGGACUGGUUUGAGGAUGUUCACUGGUUUUUGUAAAGAUUCCUUCAGGAAACCUUGAGAUCCAUUUUUAAUGUGCUGGAAAAUCCCCAAGAUU
rnacentral:lncRNA from 13 species